rnacentral:rRNA from 1 species
CACCAGGCGCGAAAACUCUACAAUGCAGGCAACUGCGAUAGGGGAACAUCGAGUGAUCCUCAUAUUGGGGGUCUGUCCACCCGUCUAAAAAACGGGUGUUAGCAAGGACCGGGCAAGACCGGUGCCAGCCGCCGCGGUAAUACCGGCGGCUCGAGUGGUGGCCGAUAUUAUUGAGUCUAAAGGGUCCGUAGCCGGCUUUGCAAGUCUCUCGGGAAAUCCAGCGGCUUAACCGUUGGUCGUCCGGGGGGUACUACAUUGCUUGGGACUGGGAGAGGUAGGAGGUACUCUGGGGGUAGGAGUGAAAUCCUGUAAUCCUUUGGGGACCACCGGUGGCGAAGGCGUCCUACCAGAACAGGUCCGACGGUGAGGGACGAAAGCUAGGGGCACGAACCGGAUUAGAUACCCGGGUAGUCCUAGCCGUAAACGAUGCUCGCUAGGUGUCACAACAGUCGUGAAUUGUUGUGGUGCCGUAGGGAAGCCGUGAAGCGAGCCACUUGGGAAGUACGACCGCAAGGUUGAAACUUAAAGGAAUUGGCGGGG